rnacentral:misc_RNA from 1 species
GUGAAUCAUCAAAUCUUUGAACGCAAAUUGCGCCUUUUUCGGAAGGCAUGUCUGAUUGAGGGCACCAUGGAACAAAUAAUGUGCAGUUCGUGUGCACACGUUGAGGAGCGUGCCAAAAUUAUGUAUUAUUAUUUAUGGUGGCGCAUAAUUAAACAGCGCGAUGCGUUUUUUCAGUUAGAGUGUAGUAAAAUGUUGUCUUGCUUGGGUUGUGAAAAGCGUGAUCGCGCAAAUGGGUGUGGCGAUGCUACUAACCCUGCUCCAAUGCCAC